rnacentral:rRNA from 1 species
GACGAACCGUCCAAACGUUAUUCGGAAUUACUGGGCUUAAAGGGUGCGUAGGCGGCGCGGAAAGUUGGGUGUGAAAUCCCUCGGCUCAACCGAGGAACUGCGCCCAAUACUACCGUGCUUGAGGGAGAUAGAGGUGAGCGGAACUUAGGGUGGAGCGGUGAAAAUGCGUUGAUAUCCUAAGGAACACCGGUGGCGAAAGCGGCUCACUGGAUCUCUUCUGACGCUGAGGCACGAAAGCUAGGGUAGCGAACGGGG